AGGUCAGUAGCUCCAAUGGUAGAGCGUCGGUCUCCAAAACCGAAUGCUGGGGGUUCGAGUCCCUCCUGACCUG
rnacentral:tRNA from 1 species